CAGCAGCCGCGGUAAUACGUAGGUGGCAAGCGUCGUCCGGAAUUAUUGGGCGUAAAGGGCUCGCAGGCGGUUUCUUAAGUCUGAUAUGAAAGCCCCCGGCUCAACCGGGGAGGGUCAUUGGAAACUGGGAAACUUGAGUGCAGAAGAGGAGAGUGGAAUUCCACGUGUAGCGGUGAAAUGCGUAGAGAUGUGGAGGAACACCAGUGGCGAAGGCGACUCUCUGGUCUGUAACUGACGCUGAGGAGCGAAAGCGUGGGGAGCGAACAGGAUUAGAUACCCCCGUAGUCCCUGUCUCUUCUAC
rnacentral:rRNA from 1 species